rnacentral:rRNA from 1 species
GUAGGUGGCAAGCGUUGUCCGGAAUUAUUGGGCGUAAAGCGCGCGCAGGCGGUUCUUUAAGUCUGAAGUGAAAGCCCACGGGCUCAACCGUGGAGGGUCAUUGGAAACUGGAGAACUUGAGUACAGAAGAGGAAAGCGGAAUUCCACGUGUAGCGGUGAAAUGCGUAGAGAUGUGGAGGAACACCAGUGGCGAAGGCGGCUUUCUGGUCUGUAACUGACGCUGAGGCGCGAAAGCGUGGGGAGCAAACAGGAUUAGAUACCCUGGUAGUCCACGCCGUAAACGAUGAGUGCUAAGUGUUAGGGGGUUUCCGCCCCUUAGUGCUGCAGCUAACGCAUUAAGCACUCCGCCUGGGGAGUACGGCCGCAAAGGCUG